rnacentral:sRNA from 21 species
CAGUCAUCAUAUCAGUAGACUGAUGGAUUGAGAGAUGAAGGGCGAGAGGUUUGUCCUGGUCCACGCAAGGCAGAUAGGGGAGAUAGUGCUUCUCUUAUGAGAAGGGCGUCGUGAACACAGUUAAGUGGCUCGUCUGUAGCUCCCGGAGGUGAGUACACCUCUACGUAUAUGGGGCGAUGAGGGGUCAAGAAGACUGGCAUAUACCUUAA